CUCUCAAGGGCUUUUCAUGGCUCCUCUCAAAUCCAUGACUUUAAGCAGCUUCUGAGAGGCAGAGAUGGCAGUGACCCUGGUGGCAUGAUAGCCAGUGAAACAUUUGCCAUACUCAUCACACAGGCCAAGCUGACUUGGAUCCUGAUGAACUUGCUGAAUCUGAACGUGGCUCCCCUCCUCAGGCUGUCUUCUAGAUGCUGAAACCCAUAUUGUUAGGCAGCUGCUGGCAAGUGAUCUUCAGGACUGAGUUUCCUUAUCUCUGUCCACAUCAGAGGCCCAAGAUUAAAGUGGCUAGUUUUGUGUCACAGCUGGAGAU